rnacentral:tRNA from 1 species
UCUAAUGUGGCAGAAAAUAUGCAAUGAAUUUAAAAUUCAUGUAUAAAUAAUAUAAUUUCUUUAGAA